rnacentral:rRNA from 1 species
UACGUAGGGUGCAAGCGUUAUUCGGAAUUAUUGGGCGUAAAGGGCGCGUAGGCGGCUUUGCAAGUGACGGGUGAAAUCCCUCGGCUUAACCGAGGAACUGCCUGUCAGACUGUGAGGCUUGAGACCGGGAGAGGUGAGUGGAAUUCCCAGUGUAGCGGUGAAAUGCGUAGAUAUCUGGAGGAACACCGGUGGCGAAGGCGGCGUCCUGGACCAAUACUGACACUGAGGAGCGAAAGCCAGGGGAGCAAACGGG